UCGAGCGGAGAUGAGGUGCUUGCACCUUAUCUUAGCGGCGGACGGGUGAGUAAUGCUUAGGAAUCUGCCUAUUAGUGGGGGACAACAUUCCGAAAGGAAUGCUAAUACCGCAUACGUCCUACGGGAGAAAGCAGGGGAUCUUCGGACCUUGCGCUAAUAGAUGAGCCUAAGUCGGAUUAGCUAGUUGGUGGGGUAAAGGCCUACCAAGGCGACGAUCUGUAGCGGGUCUGAGAGGAUGAUCCGCCACACUGGGACUGAGACACGGCCCAGACUCCUACGGGAGGCAGCAGUGGGGAAUAUUGGACAAUGGGGGGAACCCUGAUCCAGCCAUGCCGCGUGUGUGAAGAAGGCCUUAUGGUUGUAAAGCACUUUAAGCGAGGAGGAGGCUACUGAGACUAAUACUCUUGGAUAGUGGACGUUACUCGCAGAAUAAGCACCGGCUAACUCUGUGCCAGCAGCCGCGGUAAUACAGAGGGUGCGAGCGUUAAUCGGAUUUACUGGGCGUAAAGCGUGCGUAGGCGGCUUUUUAAGUCGGAUGUGAAAUCCCCGAGCUUAACUUGGGAAUUGCAUUCGAUACUGGGAAGCUAGAGUAUGGGAGAGGAUGGUAGAAUUCCAGGUGUAGCGGUGAAAUGCGUAGAGAUCUGGAGGAAUACCGAUGGCGAAGGCAGCCAUCUGGCCUAAUACUGACGCUGAGGUACGAAAGCAUGGGGAGCAAACAGGAUUAGAUACCCUGGUAGUCCAUGCCGUAAACGAUGUCUACUAGCCGUUGGGGCCUUUGAGGCU
rnacentral:rRNA from 1 species